UUUCAAGAUGUUAAUUAAGUCUCAAAGGUGUUUUCAAGUGUUUUUCAAGUAGUAUUUCAGUUUUCAAGGUGUUUUUAAAUGUUAAUUAAGUCUCAAAGGUGUUUUGAAGUGUUUUCAAGUGGUAUUUCCAGUUUUCAGGUGUUAAUUAAGUCUCUAACGUAUUUAUUAAUUUUCUUCAAGUGUUUUCAGGCAUUUAAUUAAGUUUGUCAUGUGUUUUCAAGUGGUAAUUCUGUUUUUCAAGUGAUGUCAAGGUGAUU